GGCAUCUCAAUGACGCACCUUAAAAUAAACACAAAAGACAUGGAUAGGGUCCCCGCAGCAAAGCAACAGCCUGCAAGCAUCAGAGAGGGUGCUGAGGAGGGGCCACGGGGAGCCCGGGUUCUUGACAUCACCGCGGAGUCGCCGACCAGCCCCAGGCAGCUCCCAUUCACCUCUUCAACUUCCUCUGCUGAGCUAUAAAUAGGCUCCUACAUGUCAGGCCACUGUGAGUCAGGUUUGCUGCGCCUCGCAGCCCAGUGCGGUCCUAUGUGACGCCUGCCUACCUGCCCGCCCCCGAGCUGCCCCCUUCUUCCCGUCUCACUGCCGUGCUCCUGAGCCACCUUUCUCUUGGCCACCCAGCACAUGCCCGCUAGUGAAAGAUUUCUCCAUGGCUUUCAAGGCUGCCCUCUGGAAUUGCACCACAAGGCGCAUUAGCAGGAGGCUGGAUCAGAAGUGGAGCCACCAGGAUGUGAAUUCCUGCUCCAAUAUGGGAUGCUGGCAUCACGGGCAGCGACGUUACCUGCUGCACUGCAGUGCAGGCCCCAGAGGAACUGAGACCGGAAGUGACGCCUCCAGCCCACACUCUUGGCCUACAGUCCAUCCAUUUAGUGUCCAGGCUUUCUUCUGAACCGGCCCAGGGUCUCAGUGCUGGCCCCGUCCUUCCUAAGGCCAGAGGGUCUUCAGCCUCCCUGGGCCCUCCUGUCUCGUGCCAACACCACCAGGGCCUCGGCCGUCUGCAGAAUCCAGUGCUUGGACUUCUCCAAGCAGCACAUCGGGAACCGAAAGGCAAACAAGCACAGAGCUUUCCUGUCUCUCCUCUGUGAUCCGGGAUCGCUGAAGCACGCAAAUCCCAACCAGGUGGCGCCGAGAGAACAGAGGCCCCUAAGCCAGUGUAAGAAGAAGGUGGGAAAAGCCCAAGACUCCUUGCAGGGUCAGGGACAGCCCAGUGAGGACAGGUGAGGCUGGAGGAGGAGGCAGGAGGGCAGGGAAAGGGAAGCACUUGGACUAUUCAGGGAGUGAGCCUUGUGGGUGGGGUGGGAGCCGAUGGGGGAGGAACCCAGGCAGACCGAAGGGCAGGCACGAAGGCCUGGAACUGUCACACUGCAGUCAGAGCAACAGCUGAUGGCGAGGCCUUGCGUUUUCCAGAGCAGCUUGAAGAGGAAUCCGAACGCUGUCCCCACCAGGAGAUGCCAGAGGGACACAGCGAUGGGUCUGCUCGCUGCCCUGCUCUGUUCCUUAUCUUAUGUAUACCAGUACCGACCCAUCACACGGUACCCCCACGAACAGGUGCACCUACUGUGUCAGUAAAGGAUUACAAUUGAAUAAGAAAACAGAAAUGGACAAAGGAAGUCAUCUCCUCCUGGCGGGGGUGGGAGAACAAUGAGAAUGAGAUGCAUGUGUCAGGGAUUUCAAAAUGUUUGCUUUGUGCAAUAAUGGAGUUAAAAGAUGGUUUCUUUUGGGACCCACACUGUGGCGCAGCAAGUUGAACUGCAUCUUGCGAUGCAAGGUGUUAGUUUGAAUCCUUGCUGCUCUGUGCUUCCUAUCCAGCUUCCUGCUAAGGCACGUGGGUCAGCAGCAGAAAAUAGCCUGAGUGCUUGGCCCCUGCCACCCGUGUGAGACCCGGAUGGAGUUCCUGGGUCCUGGCUUCAGCUUGCCCCAGUCUUGGCUGUUGUAGCCAUUUGGGGAGUGAGCCAGCAGAUGGAAGAUCUUUCUCUCUCUCUCUUAAAGAUGUAUUUAUUUAUUUGAAAGUCGGAGUUACACAGAGAGAGAAAGAGAGGCGCAGAGAGAGAGAGAGAGAGAGAGAGAGAGGUCUUCUGUCUGCUGGUUCACCCCCCAAUCGGCUGCAAUGGCCGGAGCUGCGUGGCUGGAGCUGCGCUGAUCCGAAGCCAGGAACCAGGAGCUUCUUCUGGGUCUCCCAUGUGGGUGCAGGGCCCCAAGAACUUGGGUCAUCUUCUGCUUUCCCAGGCCAUAGCAGAGAGCUGGAUCAGAAGUGGUGCAGCCGGGACUCGAAUGGGCACCCAUAUGAGAUGCCAGCACUGCAGGCAGCGGCUUUACCUGCUACACCACAGCGCCAGCCCCGAUCUCUCUGUUUCUCCCUGUUUCUGUGUCACAAGCUUUGUGAAGUACCUUUGUCCAUGUUCACUGUCAAUUUUUCCCCUCGUUCUGCUACACAAGGGUAAGAACUUGCCACAGCUCAGCUCCGGCUGUCUACUUUGAUUCCAUGUUAUUCCUCUCUGGGGAAUCUGGGCGUGGUGAGAGGGAGACAUCCUUCUCAUAACAGCUGGUACUCACAAGGCCAGGAUUUGAACCCAGCCCCAGCCCCAGCAGAUGCCAGGGCCUUUGCCCUCAUCCACCGGACCUCCUGGGCUGCUGACGCCACGCCUCCUGACCCCAGUGCCAGGGCUCCAGGAGCACUGCUUUGGGGAAUGGCGUUGCCAUCAGGUUGAACCUGAUUUUCCUUCCUUCUUCCUUCCCCACAUUGCAGGCCCAGGAGACCCGGGGAAGGGUAGCCAGUGGGUGGGCGGGAGGAGCCGCAGAUUUGCUGUUGGCUGGAGGUCGCUAGGCAGCAGCUCCCUGGCGCCAGGCCUGCUGGGGCCUUUCUGCUGGCAUGCGGCCUGCUCGGGAAACCCGGCUCUGCUGGCCGGGCGUGGCUUCUGAGCUGCUCGCCCCAGCGAGCACGUGACAGCCACCUGCCCCGGCCUGGCACCUGUGCAGGUGACCUCACAGAAUCAAAUCCUCUCAGCUGUUCGGAGAGCAGGCAAGAGCUGCGUUCAUUCACUCCGUCCUUCCAGCGUUUGCUAAGCACCGUCUCAUUGCAGAGAGCAUUGCCCGUGGUUUGGUGAUGUGCCAGGGCUGGGUCUUCCUAGUUGGAAAGAUAUUAAAUCAGCACCUGCUAUCAGGGUGCCUCUCAGGAGUAGGCGGAGGGGUUUGUUCAGACUCGGGGCGAGCUGGGGAGGUGUUGGGAGGGGAGAGUUGUGCUGGGCCUGGCGAGUGUGGGGUGUGGGAAACACAUUCGGGCAGAGGGGGUGGCCUGGGCAAAGGCUGGGCAGCCAGACAAAGAAAGGUGUGUCUGGGAACUGAGAGCUGACCGUUUGGAUUGGUUUGUCUUGGAGGCCACUGGAGAGAUGGGUGGCGAAGCAGAGAGGAGGCUGGGAAAGCAGGCUGCCCCCCGGCGACCUUGGAACAGUCACCUGCCUCCCUGACCCUUCAUUUGCCAUCCUGCAAAUCAGCUUCAAGGGUCCUCGUCUUGCCUCCCUGACUGGGACGUCGCCAAGGCCGAGGGACCACAGACGUUCUGCUAGACAGAGUCGCUCGCUUCCUUUUGCUUUGGGGUCUCUCCUGUAGGAUCCCACAGCUCUGGGUGCAACCUCUGUCCUGGUGGGUGUUUGGGACCCCCGACCUCCCCCCAUACACGCACACGGGUGUCAAUGAUCUCUUCAGGGCUGGCCUGCAGCCACCCCCCGCCACCCCGCCUCAGGGCCCUAGGGCCAGGUGCUACACUGGAAGUCAGGGUUUGUCCUGUUCAUU